rnacentral:tRNA from 1 species
GGGCCGCUAGCUCAGUGGUAGAGCACGUGGCUUUUAACCACGGUGUCGAUGGUUCGAUCCCAUCGCGGCCCACCA